rnacentral:rRNA from 1 species
UACGUAGGUGGCGAGCGUUAUCCGGAAUGAUUGGGCGUAAAGGGUGCGCAGGCGGCGCGUCAAGUCUGAAGUAAAAGGUACAGGCUCAACCUGUGCAGGCUUUGGAAACUGGCGCGCUCGAGGACAGGAGAGGGCGGUGGAACUCCAUGUGUAGCGGUAAAAUGCGUAGAUAUAUGGAAGAACACCAGUUGCGAAGGCGGCCGCCUGGACUGUUACUGACGCUGAGGCACGAAAGCGUGGGGAGCAAAUAGG